ensembl:snRNA LOC120094007 U1 spliceosomal RNA
AUACUUACCUAGUAAAGGAGAUACGAUGGUCAGGAAGGAUGUUUCCCCAGGGAGUGUUUUAUCCACUGGACUACAAAUUUCUUUCUCCUAUAUUUCUCUCAAGUGUAGAAAAUUUGUCCUAGUAGUUUGUGGUAAUGGAUAGCUGUGUUCAUACUCUCCUU